rnacentral:rRNA from 1 species
UACGUAGGGUGCAAGCGUUAUCCGGAAUUAUUGGGCGUAAAGAGCUCGUAGGCGGUUUUGUCGCGUCUGCUGUGAAAACUGGAGGCUCAACCUCCAGCCUGCAGUGGGUACGGGCAGACUAGAGUGCGGUAGGGGGAGAUUGGAAUUCCUGGUGUAGCGGUGGAAUGCGCAGAUAUCAGGAGGAACACCGAUGGCGAAGGCAGAUCUCUGGGCCGUAACUGACGCUGAGGAGCGAAAGCAUGGGGAGCAACAGG